rnacentral:rRNA from 1 species
AAUUUCCUACGGGGGGCAGCAGUAGGGAAUCUUCGGCAAUGGGGGCAACCCUGACCGAGCAACGCCGCGUGAGUGAAGAAGAUUUUCGGAUCGUAAAGCUCUGUUGUAAGUCAAGAACGGGUGUGGGAGUGGAAAGUUCACACUGUGACGGUAGCUUACCAGAAAGGGACGGCUAACUACGUGCCAGCAGCCGCGGUAAUACGUAGGUCCCGAGCGUUGUCCGGAUUUAUUGGGCGUAAAGCGAGCGCAGGCGGUUUGAUAAGAC